rnacentral:lncRNA from 1 species
CCAGAACCACUUUCACCCCGAAUUGUGCAUAUAAUCUGCCACUGGUUUUUUAUAGUCCUCAAAUGAUUUUCCACAUGCUUCGCAUCGCAUUGGACUUGAAAUCUUUCAGAAAUAGCUUCGACAACUUGAUUAAUAGAAACUGCUUUGAAAGUGUUAGAAGGCUUGUUUACUUUUUGGGCCACCUCUACUAGAAUUUCAAGGAAAAAUAUGUUCUAUCGGCUUUGUCCACCUGAAUUGCUUAGAGGUCC